ACAGCUGCAGAGAGGUGGGCUCAAAUCCCAGCUCUGCUGUAUGAUCUUGAGUCACUACCUUCACUUAUUAGUAUCUAUUAAUAAUAUUUAUUGGCUGUGUGUUUGCCAAGUACCAUGGAUGGAUUACCUCAUUUAACUUUCACCACAAGCUUAUGAGCUCUCCAAGCAGCAAGUCUUGCCCGUGAGAACCAUCUGUGGCAUCCAAGGAAAGAAUGACACAACAGUUUCCUGUUUUGAGUGCAUCCGUGGAUCCUGGAGAGGAAAAAAUCCCAGCACCCAGCAAAUGAGUCAGUCACCUGGGUCCCUGCCCUCUGUUAGUGGCUGUGGGGAAGCCUAGUAGAUGUGACAAACCUCUUUGUCUGGGUAGGCUGCUGCUGCUCAGAGUCUUUUGGGUACAAGAACUGUGGGAAAUCUCAGAUCCCAAAAGCUUCAGACUCUGAGAUUCAAGGUAAAAGAAUAAGAGAUUACUUCCACUAAAAGCCCCCAUGGAGUCUUUGAAUCCAGCUAAGGAUUCUUAACAUGUUAAAGUCUCAGAAUUGAAAGAUUUUGGAAUAAAUGUAUUAAAGAUUCUGAGCUACGAGGCAUCUCAGAGGUCCGAAAUUCCUGUCUGCAGCCCCAGGCAGAAGCCCUCUCUUCGGUAUCCCAAAAUGGCCAGCACCCAAGCACCUCUAAGAAGAGCGAGCUUACCUCCUUCAGAGGCAGCCCCUCAUUCUUUUUCAGGACAGGUCUGAUUAUUAACAAAACCUGGCAGCCUUGGCAUGGUGUCCAUCUCUUUGAGGUGGCUGUCGUGGUUCUCAUGUGCUUCCUCCUGCCUCACCUAUAUAUUGCUUUUAAAGAUAAAUCCUAGGCCGGACAUGGUGGUUCAUGCCUGUAAUCCCACCACUUUGGGAGGCCGAGGAGGGUGGAUCACCUGAGGUCAGGAGUUUAAGACCAGCCUGGCCAAAAUGGUGAAAUGCUAUCUCUAAUAAAAAUAUAAAAACUAGUCAGGUGUGGUGGUAUGUGCCUGUAAUCCCAGCUACUCACGAGGCUGCGGCAACAGAAUCACUUGAACCUGGGAGGUGGUAAUUGCAGUGAGCUGAGAUCAUGCCACUACACUCCAACCUGGGUGACAGAGAGAGACUCCAUCUCAAAAAAAAAGACCAGGGACAGUGGCCAUGCCUGUAAUCCCAGUACUUUGGGAGGCCAAGGCAGGUGGAUCACCUAAGGUCAGGAGUUCAAGACCAGCCUGACCAACAUGGAGAAACCCCAUCUCUACUAAAAAUACAAAAAAUUUUCCAGAUGUGAUGACGCAUGCCUGUAGUCCCAGCUACUUGGAAGGCUGAGGCAGGAGAAUGACUUGAACCCGGGAGGUGGAGGUUGCUGCGAGCUGAGAUCAUGCCAUUGCACUCCAGCCUGGGCGA